AUUGAACGCUGGCGGCAGGCUUAACACAUGCAAGUCGAGCGGGGUGAUGGUGCUUGCACUAUCACUUAGCGGCGGACGGGUGAGUAAUGCUUAGGAAUCUGCCUAUUAGUGGGGGACAACAUCUCGAAAGGGAUGCUAAUACCGCAUACGUACUACGGGAGAAAGCAGGGGAUCACUUGUGACCUUGCGCUAAUAGAUGAGCCUAAGUCGGAUUAGCUAGUUGGUGGGGUAAAGGCCUACCAAGGCGACGAUCUGUAGCGGGUCUGAGAGGAUGAUCCGCCACACUGGGACUGAGACACGGCCCAGACUCCUACGGGAGGCAGCAGUGGGGAAUAUUGGACAAUGGGGGAAACCUGAUCCAGCCAUGCCGCGUGUGUGAAGAAGGCCUUGUGGUUGUAAAGCACUUUAAGCGAGAAGGAGGCUCUUUUGGUUAAUACCCAAGAUGAGUGGACGUUACUCGCAGAAUAAGCACCGGCUAACCCUGUGCCAGCCGCCGCCGUAA
rnacentral:rRNA from 1 species